rnacentral:rRNA from 1 species
UGAGGAAUAUUGGUCAAUGGGCGAGAGCCUGAACCAGCCAAGUAGCGUGCAGGAUGACGGCCCUAUGGGUUGUAAACUGCUUUUAUAUGGGAAUAAAGUGAGGGACGUGUCCCUUAUUGCAUGUACCAUAAGAAUAAGGCCCGGCUAAAUACGUGCCAGCAGCCGCGGUAAUACGUAUGGACCGAGCGUUGUCCGGAAUCAUUGGGCGUAAAGGGUACGUAGGCGGCCCAGUAAGUUAGAAGUGAAAUAAUAUAGCUCAACUAUAUAAAGCUUUUAAAACUGCUAGGCUUGAGAGAUGGAAGGGAAAGUGGAAUUCCUAGUGUAGCGGUGAAAUGCGCAGAUAUUAGGAAGAAUACCGGUGGCGAAGGCGACUUUCUGGUCAUCAUCUGACGCUGAGGUACGAAAGCGUGGGUAGCAAACAGG